rnacentral:sRNA from 1 species
UGACCAGUUUCUUUUUGAACUUAAGGCCAUACGGACAGCCGGGUCAACUGCCGA